rfam:Heterocephalus glaber contig39272, whole genome shotgun sequence.
GGAUGUGAGGGUGAUCUGGCCGCGACAUCUGUCACCCCACUGAGUGCCAGGGUUGAUUCGGCCCAUCUGGCUGGCUAGGCGGCGUCCCCUUCCUCCUUCACUGCUCCACGUGUGUCCCUCCGCGAAGCUUGGCUGAAGUGGAUUAGCAUUCCUGAUAGAGGACUGUUUCCUCAGUCAAGAGUAUUCGAGUAGCUGCGUUCCCCUGCUAGAAACUCCAAACAAGCUCUUAAAAAGUUAUCAAACCUGGUCCCGGAAUUUAGCUCAGUGGUGCCGCUGCCUGACUCUCAA